UGUAACUUGCCUGAGGUCACAUAGCUAGUCGGUGAAGGAAUCACCAGAAACCUCCUGAAGCUUGACUGGGACUCCCCUGAGCAUUUGACCAUGCCCCUAUUGAAUUAGUCUAAUUUUCCCACUAGGUGGCAGAUGAAGAAACUUCAUCUGGUGGGUGGAGACUUGGAAUCUGCAGAGAGGAACUGAAGAUCCUGCAGGAGCAGAACCUUUCUCCCAGGCAACACAAUCAGAUUCAGGUGUCCUCACUCCUCCAAAACAGGAAAACCUGAAUUCUAACUGAAUUGUCUUGAAUUUGAAUUUCAUUUCACCGAUAAUGCAAUUGGAACAAGGAAAGCUUUGUGGUGCAGUAAGAAGAAGGUGAACUUUGAAGUCCAAGAGAUUCUUGACAACUUUUCUGUCUUGAAGAGUGAAAUGAUGCAGACCCCUCAAUGAAGUGCUAAGCUUUACCAGCUAAUGACUCGGAUACCAGUGACACCAGAAGCAGGGUGCUGAGAGAGAAAAUGAACGUGCUGUCGCUGUGAGAACUGUGUCAGAUUGUUUUACAUUUCUUAAUUCCCCUUGAUUCCUGGUUUUCAUUUCUCCAUCUGUUUCUCCAUAGUGGUUGGUAUUUAAACUCUAAAAAGAACAUGUGCUGCUGGAAUAAGAUGUUUUAUUUAAAUAAAAGGAUAGAUAUCUGAUAA